rnacentral:rRNA from 1 species
GUCUUAAUUGGGCGUUAAGUUGCAGGGUAUAGACCCGAAACCCGGUGAUCUAGCCAUGGGCAGGUUGAAGGUUGGGUAACACUAACUGGAGGACCGAACCGACUAAUGUUGAAAAAUUAGCGGAUGACCUGUGGCUGGGGGUGAAAGGCCAAUCAAACCGGGAGAUAGCUGGUUCUCCCCGAAAGCUAUUUAGGUAGCGCCUCGUGAAUUCAUCUCCGGGGGUAGAGCACUGUUUCGGCUAGGGGGCCAUCCCGGCUUACCAACCCGAUGCAAACUGCGAAUACCGGAGAAUGUUAUCACGGGAGACACACGGCGGGUGCUAACGUCCGUCGUGAAGAGGGAAACAACCCAGACCGCCAGCUAAGGUCCCAAAGUCAUGGUUAAGUGGGAAACGAUGUGGGAAGGCCCAGACAGCCAGGAUGUUGGCUUAGAAGCAGCCAUCAUUUAAAGAAAGCGUAAUAGCUCACUGGUCGAGUCGGCCUGCGCGGAAGAUGUAACGGGGCUAAACCAUGCACCGAAGCUGCGGCAGCGACACUCAGGUGUUGUUGGGUAGGGGAGCGUUC